rnacentral:rRNA from 1 species
GACGAACGCUGGCGGCGCGCCUAACACAUGCAAGUCGAGCGAUGAAAUUUUAACCGAUCUCUUCGGAGAGAAGAUAAAAUGGAUUAGCGGCGGACGGGUGAGUAACACGUGAGAAACCUGCCUUUCACAAGGGGAUAGCCUCGGGAAACCGGGAUUAAUACCCUAUGACACAUUUCCUUCGCAUGGAAGAAAUGUUAAAACUCCGGUGGUGAAAGAUGGUCUCGCGCCUGAUUAGCUAGUUGGUGGGGUAACGGCCCACCAAGGCCAUGAUCAGUAACCGGCCUGAGAGGGUGAACGGUCACAUUGGAACUGAGACACGGUCCAAACUCCUACGGGAGGCAGCAGUGGGGAAUAUUGCACAAUGGAGGAAACUCUGAUGCAGCGACGCCGCGUGAGCGAUGAAGGCUUUCGAGUCGUAAAGCUCUGUCCUAUGGGAAGAUAAUGACGGUACCAUAGGAGGAAGCCCUGGCUAACUACGUG